rnacentral:ncRNA from 2 species
AAUAACCAAUGGAAUAAAGGUGCCUUAAAGGCUUAAUAGGGAAGCUGGUGAAAAUCCAGCGCGGCCCCGCCACCGUAACUGGGGACGAAAGUCGCAAAGUGCCACUGGGAUUUCCUGGGAAGGUGCGACGAGUAGGUUGAUCCAGAAGCCGGGAGACCUGCCUUUGUUCCAAAGUGUUU